CCUACGGGGGGCAGCAGUAGGGAAUAUUGCUCAAUGGGGGAAACCCUGAAGCAGCAACGCCGCGUGGAGGAUGAAGGAUUUCGGAUUGUAAACCCCUUUUGUUAGAGAAGAAAAUGACGGUACCUAACGAAUAAGCACCGGCUAACUCCGUGCCAGCAGCCGCGGUAAUACGGAGGGGGCAAGCGUUACUCGGAAUCACUGGGCGUAAAGAGCGCGUAGGCGGGAGUGCAAGUCAGAUGUGAAAUGCUAUGGCUUAACCCUCGGACUGCCUUUGAAACUGUUCUUCUAGAGUAUGGGAGAGGUAGGUGGAAUUCUUGGUGUAGGGGUGAAAUGCGUAGAGAUCAAGAGGAAUACUCAUUGCGAAGGCGGCCUACUGGACCAUAACUGACGCUGAUGCGCGAAAGCGUGGGGAGCAAACAGGAUUAGAUACCCCUGUAGUC
rnacentral:rRNA from 1 species